rnacentral:rRNA from 1 species
GACGAACGCUGGCGGCGUGCAUAACACAUGCAAGUCGAACGGACUUGAUAGGAGUUUGCUCCGAUCAAGUUAGUGGCGGACGGGUGAGUAACGCGUGGGUAACCUGCCUCACACUGGGGGACAACAGUUGGAAACGACUGCUAAUACCGCAUAAGCAUACAGUGUCGCAUGACACAGUGUGAAAAACUCCGGUGGUGUGAGAUGGACCCGCGUCUGAUUAGCUAGUUGGUGAGGUAACGGCCCACCAAGGCGACGAUCAGUAGCCGGCCUGAGAGGGUGAACGGCCACAUUGGGACUGAGACACGGCCCAA